CAGUAGCCGCGGUAAUACGAGGGGGGCAAGCGUUGUUCGGAUUUAUUGGGCGUAAAGGGUGCGUAGGCGGUUUGGCAAGUCUUGUGUGAAAUCUUCGGGCUCAACCCGAAGCCUGCACGAGAAACUACCGGGCUUGAGUAUUGGAGAGGUGAGUGGAAUUUCCGGUGUAGAGGUGAAAUUCGUAGAUAUUGGGAAGAACACCGGUGGCGAAGGCGGCAACCUGGUCCUUGACUGACGCUGAGGCGCGAAAGCGUGGGGAGCAAACAGGAUUAGAUACCCGGGUAGUCCCUGUCUCUUAUAU
rnacentral:rRNA from 1 species